rnacentral:rRNA from 1 species
AUUGAACGCUGGCGGAAUGCUUUACACAUGCAAGUCGAGCGGCAGCGCGGGGGCAACCCUGGCGGCGAGCGGCGAACGGGUGAGUAAUACAUCGGAACGUGUCCUUAAGUGGGGGAUAGCUCGGCGAAAGCCGGAUUAAUACCGCAUAAGCUCUGAGGAGGAAAGGCGGGGGCUCCGUAAGGACCUCGCGCUGUUGGAGCGGCCGAUGUCGGAUUAGCUAGUUGGUGGGGUAAAGGCCCACCAAGGCGACGAUCCGUAGCUGGUCUGAGAGGAUGAUCAGCCACACUGGAACUGAGACACGGUCCAGACUCCUACGGGAGGCAGCAGUGGGGAAUUUUGGACAAUGGGGGCAAACCCUGAUCCAGCCAUUCCGCGUGAGUGAAGAA